rnacentral:misc_RNA from 1 species
GAAAUGCGAUAAUUAAUGUGAAUUGCAGAAUUCAGUGAAUCAUCGAGUCUUUGAACGCACAUUGCGCCCCCUGGUAUUCCGGGGGGCAUGCCUGUCCGAGCGUCAUUGCUGCCCUCAAGCACGGCUUGUGUGUUGGGCUUCCGUCCCUGGCAACGGGGACGGGCCCAAAAGGCAGUGGCGGCACCAUGUCUGGUCCUCGAGCGUAUGGGGCUUUGUCACCCGCUCCCGUAGGUCCAGCUGGCAGCUAGCCUCGCAACCAAUCUUUUUAACCAGGUUGACCUCGGAUCAAGUAGGGAUACCCGCUGAACUUAAGC